rnacentral:rRNA from 1 species
UACGUAGGGUGCGAGCGUUAAUCGGAAUUACUGGGCGUAAAGCGUGCGCAGGCGGUUCUCCAAGUCCGUUGUGAAAGCCCCGGGCUCAACCUGGGAGGUGCGCUUGAUACUCGAGGGCUUGAGUGCGGGAGAGGAGAGUGGAAUUCCCAGUGUAGAGGUGAAAUUCGUAGAUAUUGGGAAGAACACCGGUGGCGAAGGCGGCUCUCUGGACCGUAACUGACGCUGAGGCGCGAAAGCGUGGGGAGCAAACAGG